UUGGUAAAACAUUGAGGAGCACUCACAUUAAAAUUAAAACAACCAGGAACAGAUUAGCCUGAUCCCAGUGCAAGGAUAACACUCAAAUACGUGAAGUGUUCCAUAUUUUU
rnacentral:snRNA from 1 species